GCAGACGGCAGCUGGCAGCUGGCAACACACACAUACUGGGUGUUGAGGCAAACAGAGUAGAGUAGAGUAGCGCACAGGAGCCCCAGGACACGCAGGAUUCACAGGAAUCAUGGGAAUCACAGGAAUCACAGGCACACAGAUCAGCGAACCGGGAACCAACUGAUUGACUGCUCCAGCCGAUGUCCUGAUAUCCUGAUGUCUGCUAUCCUGAUGCCUGCUAUCCUGAUGCCUGUAAGUAGGCAACUGGUUUUGUUUACCCACUCGAGGAAUUGAUUGUCAUUGCCGGGCUGCCACAAAUAUCUGACACCAAAAAGGAUUGUUGCACCUGCAUUUCUGCAUUUUCCUGUGCAACGACACAUUUCGUGUGUUAAUGUAAAUAUAAUUGGGAGCUAACUUACCGUUCUUUGCAAAUGCCAGACAAUCGUGUGCUGGUCAAGAGGACAAAGCUGAGCUGGAGCCGCAAUUGUUGACUGACCAAUGAUCAAUUUAAUAGGAAAACAAUAUUGAUGGCCGGGCCGAGUGGCACUUGGCUGGCAUUUCCUGGCCCAAGGAGUGGAGGAUGCUCGAAAGGCGGAAGUGUUGCGGUUUUUGGUUAAAUUCAAUGGGGUACGAGUAGCAAAGUCCGGAGUUUUGUUUGUUUGCCUCGAAAACUUGGCAAACUUUUGGUGUUGUGUGUGUGUUGUAACUAAAUUUUCGAGAGGACAAAGGGCAACACUUUCACUUCGUCUCGGGGAGAACUCUCUGUGUUUGGUUUCUUGUGGUUUAUUAUUCACGCCUGAAUUGAUUGUAAAUUAAAGUUUGUGUCGUUGUGCAUUUUGA